rnacentral:rRNA from 1 species
GACGAACGCUGGCGGCGUGCUUAACACAUGCAAGUCGAACGGAAAGGCCCUGCUUUUGUGGGGUGCUCGAGUGGCGAACGGGUGAGUAACACGUGAGUAACCUGCCCUUGACUUUGGGAUUACUUCAGGAAACUGGGGCUAAUACCGGAUAGGAGCUCCUGCUGCAUGGUGGGGGUUGGAAAGUUUCGGCGGUUGGGGAUGGACUCGCGGCUUAUCAGCUUGUUGGUGGGGUAGUGGCUUACCAAGGCUUUGACGGGUAGCCGGCCUGAGAGGGUGACCGGCCAAAUUGGGACUGGGAUACGGCCCAGACUCCUACGGGAGGCAGCAGUGGGGAAUAUUGCACAAUGGGCGGAAGCCUGAUGCAGCAACGCCGCGUGCGGGAUGACGGCCUUCGGGUUGUAAACCGCUUUCGCCUGUGACGAAGCGUGAGUGACGGUAAUGGGUAAAGAAGCACCGGCUAACUACGUG